UGGUAGAGGCGGAGGAAGGAAGUGGAAAGGUGACAAGUGUGGGUGGUUGGGUUUUAUGGUGGUGAUGUGGUAUGGAGGUGUUGGAAGGAUGAGCGGGGAAUAUAGGAAGCAGUGAGAGCCGAUGUAAGAGAGGUGGAUAAAGUUGUUAGGUUGAAGGAAGAAGAAGAGAAAAAUGGCGAGGCGGGCGGUUGAGGAAGAAUAGUCAAAAGCGUUCUUCUGAGUUUUUUUUUUAUUGAGAAAGUCGCCACCUUUAUUUUAGAUUUCUCUUUUUAAUUUAAAAAAAAUGUAUUUGUGUUUUUCAAAAAGCAAUGUGUCGUGUGUAAGGUUUUUUUGUGUGAAUUGGUCUGACUCCUUCUUUC
rnacentral:lncRNA from 1 species